UGGUUCUUUUACCAUCUGAGUUUCGCGAUCAAAUUCUAUCUGUCAGGGUGGAGAGCAAGCAUCUUUACCUAAUGAGCCAUAUCACUAGCCCAAGCCAGUGUUGGUUGACUUUGGGACAGAGGCUGCUAUUGAUAAUUGUGGGGAGAAGCUAGACAUACACUUUUCACAAGAUGGCUUCUAUCACCCCAGCCCGUAAUAUCGGGUGCACGCAGUGAAUCACUGCUGUAGGGGCUGGAGAGACAGCUCAGAGGCUAUGAGGACAUACCAGUCUUGCUGAGGAUCUAGAUUUGGUCCCCAGCUCCUACACCAAGUGGCUCACAGUCACCUGCAAUUCUAGUUCAGGAGGAUCAGAUGCUCUUUUCUGACACACUCGUGCACACCUACAGGCGCGUGCACAAAUCUCCAGAGUUUCAGGUCCUUAGGGUUGCUUUUUUUUUCAGGACUGGAGAGCUGGCUCAGCAGUUGAGAGAGCUUGCUGCUUGUCUGUUGUGAAGCAGUUUCCUCUGAAAUAGAACUUUCCGUCUUGGAGGGGUUAGGAAACAGGAUGUACUAAAGGGAGGUGAAACAUUCCACCCUGCAAGGAAGCUCAUGAAGACUCAGGAAGUGAGGAUCUAGAGAAUCUCCUUGGCUGCUAAAAGAAGUUACCUGGUGAGGACCCAAGUCCAGUCUUCCAACUGGCUUUAACUCCAGCUCGAGGGGAUCCAAUGAUCCUGGCUUCCCUAGCACUGCCACCCAUGAGCAAGUACCCACACAGUAAGUAAACAUCACCAAGUCUCCAGGAAGUCCUGGAAACUCACCAGACGCACCAUGUCUCUUCCUCCCCCUUCCUUAAGGAUGGCUGAGGGAUGCUCAGAUCAGCCAAACUGCCUGGAAAAAGACUCACUGUGGCUUGUCAAGCUGCCUGCAGAUUGUGAGCUCCAGGUUGCCAGGCUUGGUGACCUGUGACCCAUACUAAGGUGGCCUUCUGGUGUUUGUAGAGAGGUCAUCAUAUGCUUGUCCAUGACUUUGGGGGCAUGCUAUGAUGUGAGAGAUCAUGUUCCCAGUGAGACUGGACUUCCUGUUCCUUCCCAGCAGGCAUGACCCAACCCCAGCUCUUCAUUAGAACAAGGGAGCAAGAGGUAGGAGGCAGUGUCCAGAUCUCUGUGUGAUCGAAUCCAGGCUUAUGAAGGCCCCCUUUUCAAUGAACGGGAAAUCUCAGUAACACACUAUAGACAGUUCAAGGUCCACAGAAAAUACAGAGCAAACUAAAGGGAAAAUAUGAAACCUCUUCGAAAGAUACUGUGUAGGUAGAGAUUCUGGGGUCUGAGGAUGAGGCUCAGUUGGCAGAGUGCUUGUCUAGGAUACCUGCUGCCUUGAGUUUGAUUCCCAGCACUGCAUAAAGCUAGGUAUGGUGGCACACAUUCAGCAUCUCAGCACUAAGGACCUGGAUGCUGGUGGAUCAGAAAUUCAAGGCUAUUUGGGAUACGUGAGACCCUGUCUCACAAAACAACAGGUGCAGAGGAUGGAGAGAUGGGUCACUGGUUAAGAACAUGGCGGUUUACAACCGUCUGUAACUGCAGUCCCAGAGGAGCUGAUGCCCUCUUCUACCCUCUGUGGGCAUCAGGUAUGCACAUGGU
rnacentral:lncRNA from 1 species